rnacentral:misc_RNA from 1 species
AGCUGAUAAAUCUUUUAAUAAAACUCCAGAUAUCAUUGUUAUAAGGAAAAGCACCCACUAGAAGGAAAUAAAUAUUGUAUUUAAUUAAAUAUAAAAAUUCAAAGACAACAAAAGUAAAGACAAACAACGAACAUGCAAUCCCAACCUACUUUGGUAAAAGAAGAAUAUCAAUAAGAAGAAAUGCAAGUAUAAGCAGGAGGAAAAGUUUCCCAUUAAGAUACAAAAGAAACAAAACAGUGCAAGGAAAACUCUUCUGAAAGCUCCAGAUAUAAAGCGCCCUAAAGAAGCAACUAUCCCAAAAUAAAUCAAGUUCAGAAGCAAAUAAUGAUGCAUGAAAUUCUUGCAUUUUGGUCCAACCAAGUACAGCAAGUAAAACUAAGGUGAACCAAAUUAAAUACAAUAACAAAUACUGAUCCUCAAAAAAAUUUCUUGAAUUUGCUCCAACUACGUGCACCAGACUACCACAAACACAGCAAAUCUUAAAAGAAUCAUCCCACUUUCCCUCUAUCAGAACCCCAGGAACAAAUCAAUAAAUAACCCUCCAAAGUUUGUAGGCUGAGCAAUGGUUUGUACAGUGAACCCAAAA